UCCGCCGCCGCCGCCUGAAGUGGACAUCGGUGGGGAAGGGCUCGCCAAACUCAUUCACCCGGACAGCUCGAAGAAGCAUACCAACAACCGAAGAAUCCCCCAUGUGACGGUUUUUAUGGCAGUUGUUUUCUUCGGCAUUUCUCAGAUACGAGGCACUUAAAGCAACUUUUGUUUAGGCUUAUUCUUAUGUUGUGCAGUUUUCAGGCACCCUGAGGGAAAAGAAAGAUGAUUUCCUUAUCUGAGUUUAUUUUGUUUUGUAUUACAAUUUGGAACUUUUCUAUAAAAAUUUCAGACAUC